rnacentral:rRNA from 1 species
CGUACUUCACUCCCAACCCCUGUGAACAUACCAAUUGUUGCCUCGGCGGAUCAGCCCGCUCCCGGUAAAACGGGGGGCCCGCCGGAGGACCCCUAAACUCUGUUUCUAUAUGUAAUGGGAGGAGGGCCAUAAAUAAAUCAAAACUUUCAACAACGGAUCUCUUGGUUCUGGCAUCGAUGAAGAACGCAGCAAAAUUCGAGAUCGAUGACAGUCAAACUGCAGAAUUCAGUGAAUCAUCGAAUGGGGGGGCGCACAUUGCGCCCGCCAGUAUUCUGGCGGGCAUGCCUGUUCGAGCGUCAUUUCAACCCUCAAGCCCCCGGGUUUGGUGUUGGGGAUCGGCGAGCCCUUGCGGCAAGCCGGCCCCGAAAUCUAGUGGCGGUCUCGCUGCAGCUUCCAUUGCGUAGUAGUAAAACCCUCGCAACUGGUACGCGGCGCGGCCAAGCCGUUAAACCUUUCUAUUUUCUGAAUGUUGACCUCGGAUCAGGUAGGAAUACCCGCUGAACUUAGGGAUAUCAAUAAACCGGAGGCACCCCCC